GACGAACGCUGGCGGCGUGCCUAACACAUGCAAGUCGAGCGGACAGACCCUGCUUUUGCGCGUUGCUCGUUUGGCGAGCGGGGGUGAAACACACGUGUAACACCUCCCUAACAUUCUGGGAUCAUCUGGGGAAACCGGCUAAUAUAGCGGAUGAUCUCCUGAACCACGUUGGUGGAUGGAGAAAUACGGCUUUUCUGGAUGUUAUAGCUGGUUCUCGGCCGCUUUAGGUAGUUGGUGAGGUAAAGGUUUUUCAAGGGGACGAUGCGUAGCCGACCUGAGAGAGUGGUCGGCCACACUGGAACUGAGACACGGUCCAGACGCCUACGGGAGGCAGCAGUAGGGAAUCUUCCGCAAUGGGCGAAAGCCUGACGGAGCAACGCCGCGUGAGUGAUGAAGGUCUUCGGAUCGUAAUACUCUGUUAUUAGGGAAGAACAAAUGUGUAAGUAACUAUGCACGUCUUGACGGUACCUAAUCAGAAAGCCACGGCUAACUACGUG
rnacentral:rRNA from 1 species